rnacentral:misc_RNA from 1 species
UACAGAUGGGUCGAAUGGCUCCGUAUAAAAGUGAAAUUGUGAAUGAAUUACUAGUUUUCUGAACUUGGGUUUGUGUCUAAAACUCUAUUGUAUGUGUUAGCCAAUGAUGAGCUUUGCCGGAAAGAUUUGAGUAAAGAUGGGUCGAAUGGCUACGUGUACGAGUGAAAUUGUGAAUGAAAAAAUUACUAGAUAUAGCAUCUCUGGUAGAUAGCUGUUAUUAAAAAAAUCAAUAAGCUUAGCCUAUCCUGCAUGAAAGAUUUGAUAAGAUAAAAAUCCAAGGUGGAGUCAAAAUGAAUGAAAGAUACUGUUAUUUUGUUGCUUGAAUCUUGGAUAUAUUUUUUGGGAUAUAUUUUUUCAGAAUUGUUAGUGCUGUGACCUUAUUGAAUAUAAAAAGUGAGAUAUGUGGUGGUAACGGAGGGCACGGGUUGAGGGGCCUUGGCCUGAGCCCGAAGCCCACCAUUGAUCUCCUUGGGGGUGCGAGGACAAUGCCAUGCGGUUUGGACCUGAUCUCUUUUCCUCUCACAGUGAAACUUUUUUUCUCUUGUUUUGUCCGUGGACGUAGACCUUACGGUUG